rnacentral:tRNA from 1 species
GCCGGGGUGGCGAAAUAGAAAACGCACAGGACUUAAAAUCCUGCGAGUGAAAGCUCUUGAGGGUGCAAGUCCCUCCCUCGGCA